ensembl:misc_RNA Metazoa_SRP Metazoan signal recognition particle RNA
GCCAGGCAUGGUGGCUCAUGCCUGUAAUCCCAGCACUUUGGGAGGCUGAGGCAGGUGGAUCACCUGAGGUCAGGAGUUUGAGACCAGCCUGACCAACAUGGUGAAACCCCGUCUCUA